rnacentral:lncRNA from 1 species
GGAUUAUAACACAAAGGGGAAGAAGUAUUUAAAGCAAUCUAUGUAAAAUUCCUCUAUAAGCUUGCUAUUAUUAUUUUCUGGUAUCAUAGUUACUAUGCUUUUUGUUGAUGACAAAGGGGGAGAUAUAUAUGAAUUGAUAAACACUGCCAUGAUUAGAAAUACUAUGAAUGAUGCUAUAAACACUGCUAUGAUUAUGCCAUCCUUGCAUCACCAAGAGAUAUAUGAACAUGUGCUAAAGUUUGCAUUAUGCCCUGAGUUGAUAUCUUAUCAUGUGAAGAAAAUGCAAAACUUGCUAGAAUAUUUCAAAUGUGUGCAUCAUGUAAUAAGUUUCACAGCUUUAUAUGAUAAUGUUCAAACUACAUGAUGAAUAGUUACAAACACAAUCAUACAAACUUGAUGAUGUAUGUCAAGCCCUGACAUCAUCUUUGAAGAGAUAUAUCAUGAUGAGUAUCAUGAUGGGAGUAUUGAUAAGUUUAACUGAUCUAACUUAUCAAUACGUCACUUGAAUUCUUAAGUCUUGAAUUCAAGGUUGACUUAUCUCAACGAUGGCAUAUAGACAGGGGGAGUUAAGGAUAACUCCAUUAUCAAUUGAUUGUCAUCAUCAAAAAGGG